rnacentral:rRNA from 1 species
AGAGUUUGAUCAUGGCUCAGAUUGAACGCUGGCGGCAUGCCUUACACAUGCAAGUCGAACGGCAGCACGGACUUCGGUCGGGUGGCGAGUGGCGAACGGGUGAGUAAUACAUCGGAACGUGUCCUGGAGUGGGGGAUAGCCCGGCGAAAGCCGGAUUAAUACCGCAUACGCUCUGAGGAGGAAAGCGGGGGAUCGCAAGACCUCGCGCUCAAGGGGCGGCCGAUGGCAGAUUAGCUAGUUGGUGGGGUAAAGGCCUACCAAGGCGACGAUCUGUAGCUGGUCUGAGAGGACGACCAGCCACACUGGGACUGAGACACGGCCCAGACUCCUACGGGAGGCAGCAGUGGGGAAUUUUGGACAAUGGGCGCAAGCCUGAUCCAGCAAUGCCGCGUGUGUGAAGAAGGCCUUCGGGUUGUAAAGCACUUUUUGUCCGGAAAGAAAACCUUUGCCCUAAUACGGCGGGGGGAUGACGGUACCGGAAGAAUAAGCACCGGCUAACUACGUGCCAGCAGCCGCGGUAAUACGUAGGGUGCAAGCGUUAAUCGGAAUUACUGGGCGUAAAGCGUGCGCAGGCGGUCCGUUAAGACAGAUGUGAAAUCCCCGGGCUUAACCUGGGAACUGCAUUUGUGACUGGCGGACUCGAGUAUGGCAGAGGGGGGUAGAAUUCCACGUGUAGCAGUGAAAUGCGUAGAGAUGUGGAGGAAUACCGAUGGCGAAGGCAGCCCCCUGGGCCAAUACUGACGCUCAUGCACGAAAGCGUGGGGAGCAAACAGGAUUAGAUACCCNNGUAGUCC